rnacentral:rRNA from 1 species
UUUGGACAAUGGGCGCAAGCCUGAUCCAGCAAUGCCGCGUGAGUGAAGAAGGCCUUCGGGUUGUAAAGCUCUUUCAGUUGAGAAGAAAAGAUUGUGACUAAUAAUUGCAAUUCAUGACGGUAUCAACAGAAGAAGCACCGGCUAACUACGUGCCAGCAGCCGCGGUAAUACGUAGGGUGCGAGCGUUAAUCGGAAUUACUGGGCGUAAAGGGUGCGCAGGCGGUUCUGUAAGUCAGAUGUGAAAUCCCCGGGCUUAACCUGGGAACCGCGUUUGAAACUACAGAGCUAGAGUGUGGCAGAGGGGGGUGGAAUUCCAUGUGUAGCAGUGAAAUGCGUAGAGAUAUGGAAGAACAUCGAUGGCGAAGGCAGCCCCCUGGGUCAACACUGACGCUCAUGCACGAAAGCGUGGGGAGCAAACAGGAUUAGAUACCCUGGUAGUCCACGCCCUAAACUAUGUCAACUAGUUGUCGGGCCUUAUUAGGUUUGGUAACGUAGCUAACGCGUGAAGUUGACCGCCUGGGGAGUACGGUCGCAAGAUUA